GCGUCGAUGCGUGGCCUCGACGUGGCAGCGCCGAACCAAGGCUUCACCUCCACCCAGCUGCAUCGCCUCCUCCCCAUUACCACUCCUGAGCCGAGCAAACCGAGGGGGAGAGCUCCGGCUUUUCUUUUCCAUCUCGACCUUGCCGCCUGCCGUGAAGACGACGGCCGUCACCAUCGCCAUUGUGCAGCGUGGUUUGGUGGGAACGCAAGCCUCGCCGACGAUGCUCUGGAGCGCGCACUGGGCGCCGCCAUCGGGACAUCGUCUUCGUUGCCGUCGAACCGGAGGAAGCCGAGCCGAGCCACCGCACCAUCAACAUCUCCUCAGUGUCCUCUCUUAAAUCCCUCAUGAACCCCUGGCAGUGGUGCAGCGAGCUUGGAGAUCGGCAUCGUCUUCCCCAAUUCCGGCCGUCAAGCUCCACCUUCGAUUUCUCCCUCUCCGAUCAUCAGCCAUAUCAAGCCGGCGUCGUCAUUGCCCGAGGCUCCCCGCCGUCGCUGAGUCGUUCUGCUCGUGGUCAUCGCUAUCUGGACCUCGCCAAGUUUCAUUGGACGCUCGGUAAGCAUCCUAGGAUCCCAUAGAGGCACAUGCAUGUAGCUAAACAUCUAGAUCAAUGCUCUAGCUCCACAUGCACCGUCACCCGAGAACCACCGCCGCUCGCGCCGCCGUCGCCAUUAAUUCCGAUGACCAAUGCUUGCAAGAAUACCACCUAUAGCCUCGCCUUGAACCCCUUUACAUUUUCUCCUUAUGUUGCACACCGAGAUCUGCCGCCGUUUGCCACCGGCGAGCUUGAGAACGAGCUCGGCCAUGGCUAGCUCUGUCUGCUCAAACCAAGGACCUCUGUUGAGAAGAAUCAAAACUCUAGGUACUAGUUUGUAAAACCUACCUCACACACAGAACAGUCACAGGACUGCGGGUUGAUUUCCUGAAACCCUAGGGUCCUUUUUGCAUAUUGGCCUGAGACUGACCUGUGGACCCAAUCUAUUUAAAUUCUGGAAAAAUCUAAAUGAAAUGCCUAAAGCUUUAUAUUUUCAACAGAAAAACAUGUAAACUUGUAAAAUCUAUAACAAAUUGAAAACAACUCAUUUUAGAGCAAACUUAGUUUCUACAGAUCCACCAACAUGUUCUUUAAAAACAAAGUAAAAUAGAACAUAUACACACUUUACAUCAAAUAUAAUGCCUCUAAAACUAUUAUCUUUAAAAUAACUAGUUUUACAUAAGCUGAACUUUAGAAGUUUAUAUAAAAUUCAUCUUAGAUCCUUUUUAGUAUACCCAAGUUCUGUAGAAUCACCAAAACAUAUACUUCCAAGUUAUAAAAUAAAAAUAUAUGCUUACUGUACAAUAAAAGCCUCUAAAUAUUUAUGUAAGUAAUAACCAACAUAGAGCAGCCUUUAAUUUGUAAAAUUUGUAGAAAAUUCAUCUUUAGUCCAAAUGGAGUGAACCAAGUUUUUAUAGAACCAGCAAAUGGUGAGCUUCAACAUAGUAAAAUAAAAUAUGGCACCUUCUGUAUAGGUUAUAGCUCUAAACUUUAAAUCUAUAGGAUAGGUGCUAAUCACAUAGUAAGGAUUAAGCAAUACGUAUAUAUAAAUGUAUAUAGGAAUACACUCUAACUAUAAUGAAACCCAACUAAAACUUGUUGAACCAGUGAAGGCAUAAGAUCCAUCCCCUUCCUCCAAAACUUAGUACCCUUUACUCAUAUAAUAAUCUCUAGAUUGAUAUAUUAAGUUUCUAGCAUAGAAUAUCCCCUAGCUUAUAAAAUGUGAAGUAAAGUAAUUUGAACUCUAAAAUUUAUAAACUAAGAUUAGAUUAGUUAAAUAAAAGACUUAUAUUAUACAUAACUAGCUAGAUGAGGCAAGUUCUGGACCUAAACCUCUAAAGCCAUGAACCUAUAGAACACUAUACACCUAUAACACGUUAUAACUUGUAAAAUACAUAAAGAAUUCAUAUUAACUCUAAAAAUUAUGAAACCAAAUGUGUUAGUCUUAGAAAACACAUAUCUUCACCUCAGCAAACAUAAACUUAAUAAGAAUCAUCUUACAACAGCAUUUCACAAGCAUUUCGCAAUAGUACCUAAGUAAAUCCUACACUAUACCGACGAAACUUCUAAAAUUCAUAACUCUCAAAUGAAAUGAGAUAAAAUAUAAAUUAUUUCACCUAAAUUCAUUUUAUACCAGCACUUAUCCACUGUGCACAAAUCAUGCAUUUUAGAGCAUUUUGGAUUUUUCGCAUAUUUCGGUGUUUAAUUGCAUAACGUGUACUUUGUAUAGAUGAUUGCUUAAACAGUGAAUAAGUGAUUUAGGUGCUGACAUUUUCCUGAUUCAAGGCAAGUUCCACCUCCCUCUCUUUGAUCACUUUGAACCUAUGUUUUGGAGGUUAUUGAAAAUGUUUCCAAAUCUUGCAUGUCGAUUGUACACUAACAAAUUAAAAUUGUGUUAAACUUGUUAGACAAAC